rnacentral:rRNA from 1 species
GGCUCAGGAUGAACGCUGGCGGCGUGCUUAACACAUGCAAGUCGAACGAGGCACUUUUACAGAUUUCUUCGGAAUGAAGUUUAGUGACUGAGUGGCGGACGGGUGAGUAACGCGUGGGUAACCUGCCUCACACAGGGGGAUAACAGUUGGAAACGGCUGCUAAUACCGCAUAAGCGCACAGUACCGCAUGGUACAGUGUGAAAAACUCCGGUGGUGUGAGAUGGACCCGCGUCUGAUUAGCUAGUUGGCAGGGCAACGGCCUACCAAGGCGACGAUCAGUAGCCGACCUGAGAGGGUGACCGGCCACAUUGGGACUGAGACACGGCCCAAACUCCUACGGGAGGCAGCAGUGGGGAAUAUUGCACAAUGGGGGAAACCCUGAUGCAGCGACGCCGCGUGAGCGAAGAAGUAUUUCGGUAUGUAAAGCUCUAUCAGCAGGGAAGAAGAAAUGACGGUACCUGACUAAGAAGCACCGGCUAAAUACGUG